rnacentral:siRNA from 1 species
UGGCUAAACGUAUCAAAUUUUA